UGCUGUCCUGCUGAUCGCCAUAAUACUCUUUCUCCUACGCUACUUCAGAAGACUGAUGCACUUGAAACAAAGAUCAGAGAUUGAACAGACACCAGUCGGCAGAGAAGAGACUGAUGAAAUUCACUAUGCCAGUGUACAGCUUGCUACAACCCAGGAAAACCAGGUCUACUCCAACUUCACAUCAGCUGAUCUGCGCAGAUAUGAAGAGGAUUGUGUUUACACGGCAGUCAGACCCAGCAACCG